UUAUUUGGCAGUAUAGAGUCAGUACAGGUUUUAUUUGGCAGUAUAGAGUCAGUACAGGUUUUAUUUGGCAGUAUAGAGUCAGUACAGGUUUUAUUUGGCAGUAUAGAGUCAGUACAGGUUUUAUUUGGCAGUAUAGAGUCAGUGCAGGUUUUAUU